rnacentral:rRNA from 1 species
UACGUAGGGGGCGAGCGUUGUCCGGAAUUACUGGGCGUAAAGGGUGCGUAGGCGGCUUUGCAAGUCAGAUGUGAAAUACCCGGGCUUAACUCGGGGGGUGCAUUUGAAACUGCAAGGCUUGAGUGCAGGAGAGGAAAGCGGAAUUCCUAGUGUAGCGGUGAAAUGCAUAGAUAUUAGGAGGAACACCAGUGGCGAAGGCGGCUUUCUGGACUGCAACUGACGCUGAGGCACGAAAGCGUGGGGAGCAAAC